rnacentral:tRNA from 1 species
GGCUUCGUAGCUCAGCUGGUAGAGCGAUUGCCGCGUUGAGGCAUAUUAUGUCUAUCGCUGGUUCAAAACCAUCCGAAGCCC